UUCAAUCUUAACCUGCGACCGAUUGCCGCAAUUUUCAAGCAGCGUACACCAAUGAUCUUUGCUUCUAUCAUGCGCUUCCUGUACUCACCGAUGCGUACAGUAUGAAAUUUGCCUAAUCCAGGAAGACUGAAAUGUUG